GAUGAACGCUGGCGGCGUGCCUAAUACAUGCAAGUCGAGCGAACGGACGAGAAGCUUGCUUUUCUGAUGUUAGCGGCGGACGGGUGAGUAACACGUGGAUAACCUACCUAUAAGACUGGGAUAACUUCGGGAAACCGGAGCUAAUACCGGAUAAUAUUUUGAACCGCAUGGUUCAAAAGUGAAAGACGGUCUUGCUGUCACUUAUAGAUGGAUCCGCGCUGCAUUAGCUAGUUGGUAAGGUAACGGCUUACCAAGGCAACGAUGCAUAGCCGACCUGAGAGAGUGAUGGGCCACACGGGAAAUGAGACACGGUCGCGAGUACUACGGGCGGACGCAGGCGGGAAUAUUGCGGAAAGGAGGAAAGCCUGAUGGAGCAAAGCCGCGUGAAUGAUGAAGGUCUUCGGAUCGUAAAACGCUGUUAGUAGGGAAAAACAUAAAUGUAAGGAACUGUGCACAUAUUGACGGGACCUAAUCAGAAAGCCACGGCUAACUACGUG
rnacentral:rRNA from 1 species